rnacentral:lncRNA from 1 species
UUGGUAUGGCUCUUUGGCAGUUCCGCUGUGUGACCCUGGUUGGGCACUGACCCCUCUGGGCAGCUAGGCAGUUAGAUCAUCCCCGAGGGCCACUGGCCCUGAGACUGGAGAGAAGACUUCCUCCUGUCGGGGGAAAUGCCCAUCAAUUGGAUGUGCGAGUCACCAGUCCCUCCACCUCGUGCCAGUCAGCCUUCAUCCAACAGCUGGUAGAAGCAGACACCCACAGCUAAACACUGAACUGAACUGGAAUCCAGUUGCCGAGAAGGACGAGUGAUGAGCAAAGAGGUCCACACCAGGCUGGUGAAACCCACAGAAACAGCUGACCUGAAUAACGGGGAGCUCUUGCUCCCCAGACUGAUAGCUGGGAAACCAGCAUUGGACUGAUCCAGACCCCCUGAAUGUGGGUGUCAGUGAGGAGACCUUGGAAAUCUAUUGUAUUGGAUCAGUACUUAUCCCUAGCAUAGGAAUGGACUUUGGGAGCCCAUCCCACAUGGAGGGAUACUCCCUGAGCCUAGACACAAGGGUGUUAGCCUAGGCCCUAUCCCAAAGAAUAAGACAGACUUUGAAGACCCCCCUAUGGAAGGCCUCACCCUCCCUUGGGAGAAGAAAGAGUAUGGGAUAGGUAGGGUGUUAGUUGGGGGGGGGCAGGGGAGGAGGGGAAGGAAAGGGACCUGGGAUUGACAUGUAAAAUAAUUUUCUUUGUAAUUAAAAUAAAAAAAUAAAAAGAUCUCUCUCCCUUUCCUAUCAAUUGUGAACUGUGUAUAAAUCCUCAGGGAGGGAUGGGAUCCCAUAAGUCCUGACCUCAUGACAGGGUAUCAGUGGGCUCAGUCUUGUCCAGCUGAUGACGUGUCGUGUCAGUUCAAGUGUACAACAGCC